ACUACAGUCCUGUCAUUUUGCCGUAUCUGCUGUCAAUAACUCCAUUACCAGAUAGUCCAUCUGAAGAAAAAGAAAGGAUUCUGACAUUCAUCAUAUUAUUAUUACUAUUUUAUGACAAGUGGCAAUACACAGAGAUGAAGGUGCAGUUUCCAGAUCGGAGUCUCCGGUAUGUUCUCCAGCAGGAACCAAAUGGUUUAUUGCUUUCAUUGCUGCCUUCCCUUUGUUCUCCAUCUUCAUCCCUCUCCCAGUGAUGGAUUUUAAGUGCUGAAUGUGGAGAAAAUCAUCAUAAUGAAAGAACUGACAAAAUCUGGUCAAGAGCAGUGAUCCUUCUUGGAAUAUCCGUGUUUUCUGUUUAGCCUGGUGCUGAGAUCAAAGGAUCCAAAUGGUUGUGCGAGUGUGCUGCAGCUUCUGGAUAAAUUACUGAAAAUGUUAUUGUAAAAGCUAAACUGAUGUGACCCUUGUUUUCAUCAAUCUUAUAUUUAAUCUUUAUAUAGUGGCUUGUGUAGAAGGUUCUUGUACCGCUAUCCUUGAUACAAAGAUAGCACCAAUUAAAAUUCUGCACUUAUAUACAGUUCUGCACAUAUAAUAAAG